UGUCUUAGUUAACACUGUUACAAUAUCUUGCAGAUAUUCACUUCUAACUCUAGCAUUAGAGGCCAUUUGUCACCCAAUCUACCCAUUCCGAUGGCAGACUUGGCUGACAAGGACAUGAAGCAAUUUAAUACUCUAUUUAAUGAGGUAAUUCAACUUACUUAACGUGGAUCUUGAGAUGAUGAUUAUUGGGUCAUUCAAUUUUGUUUUUAUAACUUAAGCUAGUUAUAGAGUGCAGUGGCUAUGUGUUUUGCAAUAUUA